rnacentral:rRNA from 1 species
GACAGAGGGUGCAAACGUUGCUCGGAAUCACUGGGCGUAAAGGGCGCGUAGGCGGCAAUUCAAGUCAUCUGUGAAAUCUCCGGGCUUAACUCGGAACGGUCAGAUGAUACUGUUUUGCUAGAGUGCAGAAGGGGCAAUCGGAAUUCUUGGUGUAGCGGUGAAAUGCGUAGAUAUCAAGAGGAACACCAGUGGCGAAGGCGGUCUUCUGGAGCACUCUUGACGCUGAGGCGCGAAAGCUGGGGGAGCGAACGGG